rnacentral:rRNA from 1 species
UAGUCCGCACGAGCGCACCCUUGUUUUUAGUUGCCUUAUGGAACUCUAGAAAGACUGCCGGUUAUAAACCGGAGGAAGGCGGGGAUGACGUCAAGUCAGCAUGCCCCUUACACCCUGGGCUACACACGUGCUACAAUGGGCGAGACAAUAAGAUGCAACUCUGCGAAGACUAGCUAAUCUGUAAACUCGCUCUAAGUUCGGAUUGCAGGCUGCAACUCGCCUGCAUGAAGUUGGAAUCGCUAGUAAUCGCUGGUCAGCUAUACAGCGGUGAAUCCGUUCCCGGGCCUU